rfam:Colletotrichum sublineola strain TX430BB Scaffolds0787.1, whole genome shotgun sequence.
AAGGGAUUAGCUCAAUGGUAGAGCAACCGUUUUACACACGGUAGGUUAAGUGUUCGAGUCACUUAUUCCUUA